AAAGACUUGACGGUACUUCACACCAACCUAGAGGAGCCUGUCUAAUAACCGAUACUCCACGAUUAACCCCACCCACCCUAGCCUCAACAGUCUAUAUACCGCCGUCGCCAGCUUACCUUGUGAAAGAAAUAAAGUGAGCAAAACAGACCACCCCUAACACGACAGGUCGAGGUGUAACUCAUGAGUGGGUAAAAGAUGGGCUACACUUUCUUAACCAGAAAACACGAAUAAACUAUGAAACUAGAAACUGAAGGCGGAUUUAGCAGUACGAUAAGAACAGAAUACUUA
rnacentral:rRNA from 1 species